ACAAGCGGCGGAGCAUGCGGAUUAAUUCGAUGCAACGCGAAGAACCUUACCAAGGCUUGACAUACACCGGGUAACGCCCAGAGAUGGGGUCGCCCCGUUUGUGGUCGGUGUACAGGUGGUGCAUGGUUGUCGUCAGCUCGUGUCGUGAGAUGUUGGGUUAAGUCCCGCAACGAGCGCAACCCUCGUCCUAUGUUGCCAGCGGGUCAUGCCGGGGACUCAUGGGAGACUGCCGGGGUCAACUCGGAGGAAGUGGGGAUGACGUCAAAUCAUCAUGCCCCUUAUGUCUUGGGCUUCACGCAUGCUACAAUGGCCGGUACAAAGGGCUGCGAUACCGCGAGGUGGAGCGAAUCCCAGAAAGCCGGUCUCAGUUCGGAUUGGGGUCUGCAACUCGACCCCAUGAAGUCGGAGUCGCUAGUAAUCGCAGAUCAGCAACGCUGCGGUGAAUACGUUCCCGGGCCUU
rnacentral:rRNA from 1 species